rnacentral:rRNA from 1 species
UGGGGGAUAUUGCACAAUGGGGGAAACCCUGAUGCAGCGACGCCGCGUGGAGGAAGAAGGCCUUCGGGUUGUAAACUCCUGUCCUUGGGGACGAUAAUGACGGUACCCAAGGAGGAAGCACCGGCUAACUACGUGCCAGCAGCCGCGGUAAAACGUAGGGUGCAAGCGUUGUCCGGAAUUACUGGGUGUAAAGGGAGCGCAGGCGGAAUGGCAAGUUGGGAGUGAAAUCUAUGGGCUCAACCCAUAAAUUGCUUUCAAAACUGCUAUUCUUGAGUGGUGUAGAGGUAGGCGGAAUUCCCGGUGUAGCGGUGGAAUGCGUAGAUAUCGGGAGGAACACCAGUGGCGAAGGCGGCCUACUGGGCACUAACUGACGCUGAGGCUCGAAAGUAUGGGUAGCAAACAGG